rnacentral:lncRNA from 1 species
CCAUUAUUACAGAUUUCCUUGUUGUGUUUUCCUUUCUGUUGACUGGCAGAGCAGAGCUUCUCAGCGAAAAGCUAGCCAGAAGAAAUGAGCUUUGAUGAGAACCAUACCCCAUGUUUUGUGUGCUCAGUGUCUCUGGAGCUGUUCGAAGACAAAGGUCUGAUUAAGUUGCUGGACUCGUGACUGACUCCUUCCUCCCUCUCCCACUCACACUGUGCAGUGCUGCUCUGCAACAGCUUUCCUUGCAUUUCACUGUACGCAGCCUCAUAAUUUUUA